AUGGUUGGACUCAUAGGGAGGGAGCCAGGGGUACAAGGGAAGUCCGCCGGUGCAAGUUAUCAUUGGAUUGUUGAACACUUUGGGGAAUGCCCGGCUGAUGCGGACGCUGAAACAGUGCAGCAGUAUACCAGGGCAUACUUGUGGUAUGUAGUCAGCCGGACUCUUUUCUCUGACGGCACUGGCGUGAACGCUUUCUUUAUGUGGCUUAAGCUGUUUGCUGGGUGGGAGCAUGGACUCGGUUGGGGUACGGCGGCGUUGGCUUAUUUGUAUCGUCAGGUAAGUAGUUUUUCUUAUAAUAUUGUGUUCACCAUGUAG
rnacentral:rRNA from 1 species